rnacentral:sRNA from 1 species
GCGGAGGAAAAGAAACCAACAGGGAUUGCCCUAGUAACGGCGAGUGAAGCGGCAACAGCUCAAAUUUGAAAUCUGGCUCUCUUUGGGGGUCCGAGUUGUAAUUUGCAGAGGAUGCUUUGGCAUUGGCGGCGGUCUAAGUUCCUUGGAACAGGACAUCGCAGAGGGUGAGAAUCCCGUACGUGGGCGCCUGCCUUUGCCGUGUAAAGCUCCUUCGACGAGUCGAGUUGUUUGGGAAUGCAGCUCUAAAUGGGAGGUAAAUUUCUUCUAAAGCUAAAUACCGGCCAGAGACCGAUAGCGCACAAGUAGAGUGAUCGAAAGAUGAAAAGUACUUUGGAAAGAGAGUCAAAAAGCACGUGAAAUUGUUGAAAGGGAAGCGCUUGCAGCCAGACUUGCCCGCAGUUGCUCACCUAGGCUUUGGCCUGGGGCACUCUUCUGCGGGCAGGCCAGCAUCAGUUUGGGCGGUCGGACAAAGGCCUCUGUCAAGUAUCUCCCUUCGGGGUGACCUUAUAGGGGAGGCGUAAUGCGACCAGCCCGGACUGAGGUCCGCGCAUCUGCUAGGAUGCUGGCGUAAUGGCUGUAAGCGGCCCGUCUUGAAACACGGACCAAGGAGUCUAACAUCUAUGCGAGUGUUUGGGUGUCAAGCCCGGGCGCGCAAUGAAAGUGAACGGAGGUGGGAACCCUUUGGGUGCACCAUCGACCGAUCCUGAUGUCUUCGGAUGGAUUUGAGUAAGAGCAUAGCUGUUGGGACCCGAAAGAUGGUGAACUAUGCUUGAAUAGGGUGAAGCCAGAGGAAACUCUGGUGGAGGCUCGCAGCGGUUCUGACGUGCAAAUCGAUCGUCAAAUUUGGGCAUAGGGGCGAAAGACUAAUCGAACCAUCUAGUAGCUGGUUCUG